CACGUAGGCACCAAGCGUUGUCCGGAUUUAUUGGGCGUAAAGAGCUCGUAGGCGGUUCGGUAAGUCGGGUGUGAAAACUUUGGGCUCAACCCAAAGCCUGCACUCGAUACUGCUGUGACUUGAGUCCGGUAGGGGAGUGGGGAAUUCCUGGUGUAGCGGUGGAAUGCGCAGAUAUCAGGAGGAACACCGGUGGCGAAGGCGCCCACUCUGGGCCGGUACUGACGCUGAGGAGCGAAAGCGUGGGGAGCGAACAGGA
rnacentral:rRNA from 1 species